rnacentral:rRNA from 1 species
AUACGGGGGGAGCAAGCGUUGUCCGGAAUCAUUGGGCGUAAAGGGCACGUAGGCGGUUUCUUAAGUCGAAUGUGAAAUCUCACGGCUCAACCGUGAAACUGCGUUCGAAACUAAGUGACUUGAGUUUGGGAGAGGUGUACGGAAUUCCUGGUGUAGCGGUGGAAUGCGUAGAUAUCAGGAAGAACACCAAUGGCGAAGGCAGUACACUGGCCUGAAACUGACGCUGAGGUGCGAAAGCGUGGGGAGCAAACAGGAUUAGAUACCCUAGUAGUCC